GACGAACGCUGGCGGCGUGCUUAACACAUGCAAGUCGAACGCUGAAGCUUGGUGCUUGCACUGGGUGGAUGAGUGGCGCACGGGUGAGUAAUACGUGAGUAACCUGCCCUUGACUCUGGGAUAAGCCUGGGACACUGGGUCUAAUACUGGAUACGACAUGUCACCGCAUGGUGGCGUGUGGAAAGUGUUUUACUGGUUUUGGAUGGGCUCACGGCCUAUCAGCUUGUUGGUGGGGUAAUGGCUCACCAAGGCGACGACGGGUAGCCGGCCUGAGAGGGUGACCGGCCACACUGGGACUGAGACACGGCCCAGACUCCUACGGGAGGCAGCAGUGGGGAAUAUUGCACAAUGGGCGAAAGCCUGAUGCAGCGACGCCGCGUGAGGGAUGACGGCCUUCGGGUUGUAAACCUCUUUCAGCACGGAAGAAGCGAAAGUGACGGUACGUGCAGAAGAAGCGCCGGCUAACUACGUG
rnacentral:rRNA from 1 species